rnacentral:rRNA from 1 species
AUACAGGGUGACAGCCCCGUACACAAAAAUGCACAUGCUGUGAGCUCGAUGAGUAGGGCGGGACACGUGGUAUCCUGUCUGAAUAUGGGGGGACCAUCCUCCAAGGCUAAAUACUCCUGACUGACCGAUAGUGAACCAGUACCGUGAGGGAAAGGCGAAAAGAACCCCGGCGAGGGGAGUGAAAAAGAACCUGAAACCGUGUACGUACAAGCAGUGGGAGCCUCUUUAUGGGGUGACUGCGUACCUUUUGUAUAAUGGGUCAGCGACUUAUAUUCUGUAGCAAGGUUAACCGAAUAGGGGAGCCGAAGGGAAACCGAGUCUUAACUGGGCGUUAAGUUGCAGGGUAUAGACCCGAAACCCGGUGAUCUAGCCAUGGGCAGGUUGAAGGUUGGGUAACACUAACUGGAGGACCGAACCGACUAAUGUUGAAAAAUUAGCGGAUGACUUGUGGCUGGGGGUGAAAGGCCAAUCAAACCGGGAGAUAGCUGGUUCUCCCCG